AUUGAACGCUGGCGGCAGGCCUAACACAUGCAAGUCGAACGCGUGGCGGACGGGUGUGUAAUGUUUGGGAAACUGCCCGAUGGAGGGGGAUAUCUUCAGGAUACGGUAGCUCUUACAGCAUACUCCCUGAGGUGUCCAGAUGUGAUUAGCGCGUGGGUGGGGUAACGGCUCACCCAGACGACGAUCCCUAUCUGGGCUGGGAGGGUGACCAGCCAGACUGGAACUGAGACACGGUCCAAACGCCUACGGGAGGAAACAGUGGGGAAUAAUGCACAAUGGGCGCAAGCCUGAUGCAGCCAUGCCGCGUGUAUGAAGAAGGCCUUCGGGUUGUAAAGUACUUUCAGCGAGGAGGCGUUACUCGCAGAAGAAGCACAGGCAGACUCCGUGCCAGCAGCCGCGGUAAUAC
rnacentral:rRNA from 1 species